UUAGUUCGAAAAGUUUCUGGGGUGUUACAUGUGCCUCAACAUGUGUGGGCAAUUUUUCAUUUUUGAGGCUCCAACAUUGGGUAAGACGGGCCCUGAUCUGCCUGAUACUUUGUGAAAUUAGGUCUUAGUCCUAACUCACACCCCAAAAGUUAGCUCAAAGGGAGAAGUAUUGUCGAAGCAUUAUAAGGAGUUCACCCAUUUCAUUAACCACGUGGAACGUUUGUCAUUCUUUAACAGUCAAAAUAACUCAGGGCCACCGGAAAAUGUCUCAUCAAGUCACUCAAACUUUUGUGACAAUUUUAUUCUCCGUCAUGAUUUCUUUGCUGAGAUUUGUGUUUCCACGAAUUCAAAUUUUGAAUUCUUGGAGCCCAAAUUGACUAUAAGAAGGGGAGGCAGAUUCAGAUCCAAAAACGUCCAAACAAAAUCCAAAGAGAAAAACAAGUAAGAAAAUCCAAGAACCAAAUGAAUAAUCCGCGAACUAGUUAUUCUCUUUAGUUCUCUGUUUCUUUUUUUUUUUUUUGAGUUGAAGAGGGAGUUUAAGUUUGAAUCUUGGCGUCCAAGCUCUUGUUUGCUGCUCUCGAAAAGACGCAGGUAACGAGGAUUGGCAUCCAGCGCACCGUUGAUCCAGUUGAUCACUUCAGAGUCAAUUGGUGAACCUAUUUGCAACCCGGAGGACUAUUAUUUUUUAAUUGCUUUCAGUAUUUUUCUUUAUUAGGAUGUUGAGGGGGCUUUCCCAACAUCCAUCUCAGUUUUAGAGGCUUCAUAGGUAGACAGUCAGAUGUUAGUCCUUUAGUCUUUUCAUUAUCUUUCUAUUGGUUAAGACUUGGGUUGCCACUUUUGGCCAAUUGAAUGUUUAAUCUUUAAAACAUUCUCAGUUUUAUCAGUUCAA